GCACUGAGGUAUCGCUACCCCAACACCUAGCACUCAUCGUUUACGGCGUGGACUACCAGGGUAUCUAAUCCUGUUCGCUCCCCACGCUUUCGUUCCUCAGCGUCAGUAUUUGUCCAGAAAGCCGCCUUCGCCACUGGUGUUCCUCCUAAUAUCUACGCAUUUCACCGCUACACUAGGAAUUCCGCUUUCCUCUCCAACACUCAAGUCCCCCAGUUUCAAAAGCUUACAAUGGUUGAGCCACUGCCUUUCACUUCUGACUUAAAGGACCGCCUACGAACUCUUUACGCCCAAUAAUUCCGGAUAACGCUCGUCCCAUACGUAUUACCGCGGCUGCUGGCACGUAUUUAGCCGGGACUUUCUUCUAAGGUACCGUCACUAUCUUCCCUUAGAACAGAACUUUACGACUCGAAAGCCUUCAUCAUUCACGCGGCAUCGCUGCAUCAGGGUUUCCCCCAUUGUGCAAUAUCCCCCACUGCUGCCUCCCGUAGAGUCUGGACGUGUCUCAGUUCCAGUGUGGCCGUUCACCCUCUCAGGCCGGCUACUGAUCGUCGCCUUGGUAAGCCGUUACCUUACCAACUAGCUAAUAGACGCGGGACAUCUA
rnacentral:rRNA from 1 species